rnacentral:piRNA from 1 species
UGGUUCUCAGUGGUGGUGAGUGUUUCU